rnacentral:sRNA from 1 species
UCUAUGCCUAUCGAGACUUUGCGCCUGA